AGGAUUCCAUCAGUGGUAUUCCUAGGACUUUUAAACUUAGUAUACAUCCAUAGGUAAUGGCUGCAAGUGAGAAUCUACUUUUUGAAACAAGUUGAAAAAAAGCAUGUGUCUACAAAAGAACAUCAGAUACUGCACUUUUUACAAAUUGAAUGUUUGUGGCAAGCCUGCAUCGAGAAAGUCCAUUGAUGCCAUUUUUUUCAAACAGCCUUUCUAUUGCUUGAGACACAACAAUAUUGAAAUUAGGCAAAUUGAUAGCCCUACAAUGGCCUCUAAGUGUUCACGUGAAAAGAAGAGUCACAGACCUCUCAUUUGAAAUUCAUGUUGUUUUCAUGCCUGCUAACACAACAUCCAUUCUGCAGCGCAUGGAUCAAGGGGUAAUUUUGAUUUUCAAUUUUAUUAUUUAAAUAUAUUUCAUAAUGCUAUGGCUGCCAUAGAUAGUGAUUCCAUUAAUGUAUCUGAAAUUGAAGGUAAAUUUAAACCCUCUGUAAAGGAUUUACCACUUUAGAUGCCAUUAAGAAUAUUUAUGAAUAAUGGUAAUAAGUCUAAAUAUCAACAUUAACAGGAGCCUGGAAGAAGCUGAUUCCAACCCUCAUAGAUCACUUUGAGGGCUUCAAGAUUUCAGUGGAGAGAGUAACUGCAGAUGUGGUAGAAAUAGCAAGAAAAUUUAAAUUUUAUGUAGAGCCUGAAGACAUGACUGAAUUGCUGCAAUCUAAUGGUAAAACUUUAAUGGAUGAAGGGCUGCUUCUUAUGGAUAAGCAAAGAAAGUAGUUUCUUGAGAUGGAAUCUGCUCCUAGUGAGGUGCUGUGAACAUUGUUACAAUAACAAAGGAUUUAGACUAUUCCACAAACUUCACUGAUAAAGCAAUGGUACGGUUUGAGAGGAUUGACUCCGAUUUUGAAAAAAACCUAUGACACUAUAAAAUAGUAUUGCAUGCUACAGAGAAACAUUUCAUAAAAGGGUCCAUUGGUGGGGCAAUCUCCAUUGGGUUGUUUAUCAACAUCUUUGUGAUCACAAAGAGAGAGCCUGAUGUUUCUCUCAAUUAUAUCUGACAAAUAUUGCAGGUGUGUUUUGUAAUCAAGUUUCUGAAAUUUCAUGUAAUAUCUUCAAAGUCUAUUUUGGGUCAAUUCACAACAAGAAAUAAAUGUCAAAGCCAACAUUGCACUAAUUGGGUUAAUAUAAGAUUACACGUAUUGGAUUAGUUUUGCUUCUUUAACUUAAAUAAGACUUUUCCAAAUUUCCUUAAACUGAAUUGUCCAUUUCAAUGAAAUUGAAUUCUCAAUUUCCAGUCCUCAUAUCUUUAUGUUUUCCUCUCUUGUCUGUCUUUUUCAUACAAGCCAUUUUGACAGGGGUGAGAUGAUACCUCACUGUGGUUUUGAUUUGCAUUUCUCUGAUUAGUGAUGUUGAGCAUUUUCUCAUAUCACUGUUUACCAUUUCUAUGCCAUCUUUUAAGCAAUGUCUAUUCAGAUAUUUUGCCCAUUUUUUGUAUAAAUUUAUGUGGUACAAGUAUAAUUUUGUUACAUAGGUAUAUUGCAUGUGGUGGAGUCAGAGAUUUUAGUGUUACAAUUACCUGAAUAAUAUAAAUUGUACCCAUUAGGUAAUUUCUUAUCAUCCCCCACUUCCAUCUCCCACACACUUCUGAGUCUCCAUUGUUACAUCAUUCAACACUCUGCAUCCAUGUGGAUGCUUUAUUUAGCUCCCACUUAUAAGUGAGAAGAUGCAUUGCCUUUCUGUUUCUGAGUUGUUUCUGUUAAAAUAAUGGCCUCCAGUUCCAUUCACGUUGCAGCAAAAGACAUGAUUUUACUUUUUAAAAUUUUCUACCAGGUUAAGUUUUAUUAUUUUUUAAUUUUAAUUAUACUUUAGGUUCUAGGGUACAUGUGCA